UCCCAGAUAAGUGUCCACAGAACCUUCUAGCUGGUUACACAACUACACCAUUCUGACAACAGCAGAGGCACCUGUGAUGUCAAGAAGCUCAGAAGGAGAUUCAUGACCAGUUAAGAGAGGUGGUGGCAGCAGCAACACAGAAGAGGUGAGAUGCAGGCUGCUGUAGCAGAGUAAAUGCAUUCCUGGGCUAUCUAGACAAUGACUCUGGAUUUGGCUACUCCAGGACAGGUCUCUAACAGGCUAAAUUGUCUGAUGUAGAUGAAGCAUAGAAAGAACCAGCAGACCCUGAUCAACCUGGGCUCUUUAGUGGAAAAGCUUGCCAGAAGGUGUCAGCCCUCAAGCUGUGUCACCCUUUCGUGAGAGUGAAGAUCUCGAGAUUGGCCCAAAGGUCACCAAACUUUCCCUAUCUGCAUGAUAUUCGGGGGCCUUCCAGAUUUCCAUCAUACACCCAAAGUGCCACCAUCAGUUUGGAUGCUUUGGAUGAAUAGCUAUGGAAUAAUGCUAUAACAGAGUUGACACUGGGGUUGUAUGGAGGGAAUCUUCAAAGUUUCACAUCUGCAACAAAAUUGGAUCACUGUAGUUUGUUGGGAGCUGGCAGGAGAAGUGUCUUCCCUUCCUCUGAGCUAUUAGCAUUAAUACUGGGCUGCUGGUGACACACUCUCUGGGAAACAGGAAUGACCAAGCAAUGGAAGCUCAGGAAUGAGUAUACAGAGUCAAAUGAAAACAAGCCAGCAUAACACAUCUCAGCACACAGCUCAGUGCAAAGGUUUGGAAUGACACAGGCUAUUGUUCACCAAUAUGUGUUCAUUUCAUAGGAAAUUCUUCAUAAGACUCACACUUUGAAUUUCUUUUUCAUUUUUUCUUACCAACUGAUCUUUUUCCAAAUCUUUCAAAAGGAAGAUUUCCGUCCCAUUUCCAGUGAAAAGUCUUCUAGCAGCAAAAGUGCCUGCUGGGCCCUUGUCCAGGCCCCGUCAUGUUGCUUUGGCUGCUUCCCUGCAGCCAGGGAAGAAAAAAUGCUGCUCCAGCCGGAUGAGUGAGCAAGGGAGGGUGAGUGAGAGAGUGAAGGCCAGCGGCAGCAGCAAAAGCCUGGAAGAGGCAGCCAGGUCCGGCUUCUGCCUCCACUCCCUCUUCCAAGUCCUCCACGUUCCCCGUGUGCCCCGGCUGGAGCGCAACAGAAGGCAGCCCAGUCGACAGCCUAUCUGAAUGCUACUCAUUGUUCAGCGAUGUAUGAAGUGUAUUUAAUCAAUCUGAAAAAGUAAUAUUAAACCAUUAUCAAAAGCAUCAGAUGUUCUAAACCCCUUAAAAGAAAGGUCAAAAGGUGACAUCUCUGCUAACAAUUUAUAAAAAGUUGAAGAAAUAUACAGAGAAACACAUGAAUCCUUGAGCAAUCUGUUCAGUUCUGUGAGCUGGAUAGGCAACAGCAACCUCAUAUUGUGGACUUUUGCAGAGACUUGAGAUGCAAGACUCCCAGUCUGUACCAACAAAUCCCAUCUCUGCUAACAAAAGCUUACUUAUUAAAUUGCUUUUCCUAAGUUAUUCAAACGUU